GGGUAUAAAGUAUCCCCCGACCGAAGUUUAUAAAAGACCGAUCCCUCCAGGGCUCUUUCGGCUCCCGAUCUUAUGUGUGGCGUCUAUCCGAACCCCCUCAACUAUCCGGACUUCUUCGACAAUGAACUUCUGCAUUCAUCCAUUGGGCCACCCCAAAAGUCCUCAGGGCCCCACUAUUAGCCGACCUUCUACAGCAACCGACUACCCUCGAACUUCUUUCGAACUUCAUCAGCAU
rnacentral:lncRNA from 1 species